AAUGGCUUCAGCAGCUCUCACUUUAAUUUGGAACGACACAGAAGAUUAGCCUGGUGCCUGCACCAGGACGGCAUGCAGAUUCAGGAAGUGGUCCAUGUUAGG
ensembl:snRNA LOC120093923 U6 spliceosomal RNA